UGGGGAAUUUUGGACAAUGGGCGAAAGCCUGAUCCAGCAAUGCCGCGUGUGUGAAGAAGGCCUUCGGGUUGUAAAGCACUUUUGUCCGGAAAGAAAUCCUUGGCUCUAAUACAGUCGGGGGGAUGACGGUACCGGAAGAAUAAGCACCGGCUAGCUACGUGCCAGCAGCCGCGGUAAUACGUAGGGUGCAAGCGUUAAUCGGAAUUACUGGGCGUAAAGCGUGCGCAGGCGGUUUGCUAAGACCGAUGUGAAAUCCCCGGGCUCAACCUGGGAACUGCAUUGGUGACUGGCAGGCUAGAGUAUGGCAGAGGGGGGUAGAAUUCCACGUGUAGCAGUGAAAUGCGUAGAGAUGUGGAGGAAUACCGAUGGUGAAGGCAGCCCCCUGGGCCAAUACUGACGCUCAUGCACGAAAGCGUGGGGAGCAAACAGGAUUAGAUACCCUGGGUAGUCCACGCCCUAAAACGAUGUCAACUAGUUGUUGGGGAUUCAUUUCCUUAGUAACGUAGCUAACGCGUGAAGUUGACCGCCUGGGGAGUACGGUCGCAAGAUUAAAACUCAAAUGAAUUGACGGGGU
rnacentral:rRNA from 1 species